UUAUUUUCUGAUUUAUUUUCUUUUAUUUCCAUUAUUUUCAAAAAUUCAUACCUCCUUCAUUUUAAAUCCAAAAAAUAUGGGACCAAUUGCAUUCUUCUCCAAAUAAUUUCUAGUUUCUAAUUUUGAUUUUUAAUAUUUUUUAUAUUUUAAUUUGAUAUUUUUUGUGAAUUUUCUCUUUUCUGGUUAUUUUUAAUUCAUUUUAAAUAGUUUUUGAUAUUCAAAAAAUACAAAAAUUAUUUCCUAACCUAUUUGAAUGAUGAUGAAUCUAUGAAAAAUAUUCU
rnacentral:lncRNA from 1 species